GGGCGAAAGCCUGAUGCAGCAACGCCGCGUGUGUGAUGAAGGCCUUCGGGUCGUAAAGCACUUUUCUGGGAGAUGAGAAAGGACAGUAUCCCAGGAAUAAGUCUCGGCUAACUACGUGCCAGCAGCCGCGGUAAAACGUAGGAGGCGAGCGUUAUCCGGAUUCACUGGGCGUAAAGCGCGUGCAGGUGGCGCGGUAAGUUGGGCGUGAAAUCUCCCGGCUCAACUGGGAGAGGUCGUCCAAUACUACCGUGCUCGAGAGCAGAAGAGGAAGAUGGAAUUCCCGGUGUAGUGGUGAAAUGCGUAGAUAUCGGGAGGAACACCAGUGGCGAAGGCGAUCUUCUGGUCUGUUUCUGACACUCAGACGCGACAGCUAGGGUAGUAAACGGGAUUAGAGACCCCGGUAAUCCUAGCCGUAAACGAUGUGAACUUGGCGUUGGUGGGUUAAACUCCAUCAGUGCCGUAGCAAACGCGAUAAGUUCACCGCCUGGGGACUACGGCCGCAAGGUUA
rnacentral:rRNA from 1 species